CAGAAGUCUGCAAGCUUUCUGCUUUCAGAAGCUAUUGAAAGCACGUUCUUCUGAAGCCACAUUGAGUUUCAAGUGAUGAAUCAGAAUUCUGCAUGGAAAGAUUUGGGUGGCAGUGGAACAUGGAGGUUCUGCAUCAAGUGUGAGCUCUGCACAAUUACUUGUCUUCUGUUCUGCUUUGAUGUCCAGUAACUUAUCAAUGGAUGUAAUUUUAGAGAAACAUUGGUGUUGAGGUUUUACGUCUCUAUUUUUGUGCAUGUUUAGGUUUUGUUGUUAAGAUUGCGUUGUUUCUUUUUUGUAGGACGGCACAGUCCUAAAUCUUUGAUUAAGGAAAAAAUAAAAGAGUUUCUAUGAAA